AGCGAACGCUGGCGGCAUGCCUAACACAUGCAAGUCGCACGGGGGGGCUUCGGCCUCCCAGUGGCGGACGGGUGAGGAACGCGUAGGGACCUGUCGAGGGGUGGGGGAUAACCGCGGGAAACUGCGGCUAAUACCGCAUGACGCCGCGGCGUGACAGCCGGGGCCAAAGGCGAAAGCCGCCCGCCGAGGGGCCUGCGUCCGAUUAGCUGGUUGGCGGGGUAGCGGCCCACCAAGGCGUCGAUCGGUAGAUGGUCUGAGAGGGUGAUCAGCCACACCGGGACUGAGACACGGCCCGGACUCCUACGGGAGGCAGCAGUGGGGAAUAUUGGACAAUGGGCGCAAGCCUGAUCCAGCAAUGCCGCGUGGGUGAAGAAGGUCUUCGGAUUGUAAAGCCCUUUCGGCGGGGACGAUGGUGACGGUACCCGCAGAAGAAGCCCCGGCUAACUUCGUG
rnacentral:rRNA from 1 species